AAACCUCUGACGAGAUCCGUGUAUGUUU
rfam:Moheibacter sediminis strain CGMCC 1.12708 genome assembly, contig: Ga0171597_105